rnacentral:rRNA from 1 species
CAGUAACGGCGAGUGAAGCGGGAAGAGCUCAAAUUUGAAAUCUCCGAUGCCUGCAUCGGCGAGUUGUAGUUGCGAGAAGCACUUUCUAGGUGGAUCGGCGGUGCCUAAGUUGCUUGGAACAGCAGGUCGCAGAGGGUGACAACCCCGUCUGUGGCGCCGCCGGCCGCUGACGAUGUGCUUUCGAAGAGUCGGGUUGUUUGGGAAUGCAGCCCAAAAUGGGUGGUAAACUCCAUCUAAAGCUAAAUACUGGCGUGAGACCGAUAGCGAACAAGUACCGUGAGGGAAAGAUGAAAAGAACUUUGAAAAGAGAGUUAAAAAGUACGUGAACCGUUGAAAUGGAAACGAAUGGGCUCAGCAAUGCCCCGUUUGAGAUUCAACCGGUGGGUGGGAUCGACGGCGGGUUUGCGGAUCUGAAUGGACCGCGGCCCGGUGCUCGUUUCUCCCCACCGUCGCACUUCUCUUGGGCGCGCGUCAACGUCGGUUGGGACUGGGUCUGAAAGGUGCCGGGAAGGUAGGUGUGGGCCUCCGGGUCCGUNCUGUUACAGCCUGGUUCUCUCAUGGCUCGGGCCCGACCGAGGAGUUGCAGGGCAUGCCUCCUGUGGCUAGGGUCCCCUCCCUCCGGCCGGCUGUCCAAUGCGGUGGACUGCUUCCAGUGCUCGGCGAACGCUGCCGGUCGUUGGGGUGGUGAUCUCGUACCAUNCCCUUAGGAUGUUGGCGGUCAUAUGG